rnacentral:rRNA from 1 species
CACGUAGGGGGCAAGCGUUGUCCGGAUUUAUUGGGCGUAAAGAGCUCGUAGGUGGUUCGGUAAGUCGGGUGUUAAACCCCCAGGCUCAACCUGGGGACGCCACUCGAUACUGCUGUGACUAGAGUCCGGUAGGGGAGCGUGGAAUUCCUGGUGUAGCGGUGAAAUGCGCAGAUAUCAGGAGGAACACCGGUGGCGAAGGCGGUUCUCUGGGCAUGUCCUGACGCUGAGGAGCGAAAGUGUGGGGAGCGAACAGG